UUAUCGGAGAGUUUGAUCCUGGCUCAGGACGAACGCUGGCGGCGUGCCUAAUACAUGCAAGUCGAGCGGACAGAUGGGAGCUUGCUCCCUGAUGUUAGCGGCGGACGGGUGAGUAACACGUGGGUAACCUGCCUGUAAGACUGGGAUAACUCCGGGAAACCGGGGCUAAUACCGGAUGUUUGUUUGAACCGCAUGGUUCAGACAUAAAAGGUGGCUUCGGCUACCACUUACAGAUGGACCCGCGGCGAAUCAGCCAGGUGGUGAGGUAACGGCCGGG
rnacentral:rRNA from 1 species